GAUGAACGCCGGCGGUGUGCCUAAUACAUGCAAGUCGAGCGCACUGGCCCAACAGAAAUGACGUGCUUACACUGAUUUGACGUUGGAUUCCCAGUGAGCGGCGGACGGGUGAGUAACACGUGGGCAACCUGCCCCAAAGCGGGGGAUAACAUUUGGAAACAGGUGCUAAUACCGCAUAACUUGGAAAACCACAUGGUUUUCCAAUAAAAGAUGGUUUCGGCUAUCACUUUGGGAUGGGCCCGCGGUGCAUUAGCUAGUUGGUAAGGUAACGGCUUACCAAGGCGAUGAUGCAUAGCCGAGUUGAGAGACUGAUCGGCCACAAUGGAACUGAGACACGGUCCAUACUCCUACGGGAGGCAGCAGUAGGGAAUCUUCCACAAUGGGCGCAAGCCUGAUGGAGCAACACCGCGUGAGUGAAGAAGGGUUUCGGCUCGUAAAACUCUGUUGUUGGAGAAGAACGUGCGUAAGAGUAACUGUUUACGCAGUGACGGUAUCCAACCAGAAAGUCACGGCUAACUACGUGCCAGCAGCCGCGGUAAUACGUAGGUGGCAAGCGUUAUCCGGAUUUAUUGGGCGUAAAGCGAGCGCAGGCGGUUGCUUAGGUCUGAUGUGAAAGCCUUCGGCUUAACCGAAGAAGUGCAUCGGAAACCGGGCGACUUGAGUGCAGAAGAGGACAGUGGAACUCCAUGUGUAGCGGUGGAAUGCGUAGAUAUAUGGAAGAACACCAGUGGCGAAAGCGGCUGUCUGGUCUGCAACUGACGCUGAGGCUCUAAAGCAUGGGUAGCGAACAGG
rnacentral:rRNA from 1 species